rnacentral:rRNA from 1 species
UUUAGAAUAGAUUCCCUGUAGUCCACGCCGUAAACGAUGUCGACUUGGGAAGGUUGUGGCCUUGAAGGCGUGGCUUCCGGAGCUAACGCGUUAAGUCGACCGCCUGGGGAGUACGGCCGCAAGGUUAAACUCAAAUGAAUUGACGGCGGCCCGCACAAGCGGUGGAGCAUGUGGUUUAAUUCGAUGCAACGCGAAGAACCUUACCUGGUCUUGACAUCCACGGAAGUUUUCAGAGAUGAGAUAUUGCUCCGACCUUCGGGACCACCUGUGAGACAGGUGCUGCAUGGCUGUCGUCAGCUCGUGCCGA